UACGUAGGGGGCUAGCGUUGUCCGGAAUCAUUGGGCGUAAAGAGCGUGUAGGCGGCCUGGUAAGUCCGCUGUAAAAGUCAAAGGCUCAACCUUUGAAUGUCAGUGGAUACUGCCGGGCUAGAGUCCGGAAGAGGCGGGUGGAACUCCUGGUGUAGCGGUGGAAUGCGCAGAUAUCAGGAAGAACACCAACGGCGAAGGCAGCUCGCUAGGACGGUACUGACGCUGAGACGCGAAAGCGUGGGGAGCGAACAGG
rnacentral:rRNA from 1 species